rnacentral:rRNA from 1 species
ACCUACCUCGGAUCAGACGAGACUAUAU